rnacentral:rRNA from 1 species
AGGUCACUGCUAUCGGUGUUCGAUUAAGCCAUGCGAGUCGUGAGGGGUAAAGCCCUCGGCGGAGUGCUCAGUAACACGUGGACAACCUACCCAAGAGUCAGGGAUAACCCCGGGAAACUGGGGAUAAUACCUGAUAGGCCAUGACAUCUGGAAUCGAGUUGUGGUUUAAACGUAAGGCUCUUGGAUGGGUCUGCGGCGGAUUAGGUUGUUGCCGGUGUAACGUACCAGCAAGCCUGUAAUCCGUACGGGUUGUGGGAGCAAGAGCCCGGAGAUGGAUUCUGAGACACGAAUCCAGGCCCUACGGGGCGCAGCAGGCGCGAAAACUCUACAAUGCAGGCAACUGCGAUAGGGGAACAUCGAGUGGCAUCCACCAUGGAUGUCUGUCCAAUCGUCUAAAAAACGAUUGUCAGCAAGGGCCGGGCAAGACCGGUGCCAGCCGCCGCGGUAAUACCGGCGGCUCGAGUGGUGGCCGAUAUUAUUGAGUCUAAAGGGUCCGUAGCCGGCUUUGCAAGUCCUAUGGGAAAUCCAGCGGCUUAACCGUUGGGCUUUCAUGGGAUACUACAUUGCUUGGGACUGGGAGAGGUAGGAGGUACUCAGGGGGUAGGGGUGAAAUCCUGUAAUCCUUUGGGGACCACCGGUGGCGAAGGCGUCCUACCAGAACGGGUCCGACGGUGAGGGACGAAAGCUAGGGGCACGAACCGGAUUAGAUACCCGGGUAGUCCUAGCCGUAAACGAUGCUCGCUAGGUGUCACGGCAGUCGUGAAUUGUCGUGGUGCCGUAGGGAAGCCGUGAAGCGAGCCACUUGGGAAGUACGACCGCAAGGUUGAAACUUAA